AAGGAAUGUCCAAAAUGUAUGUGGACUGGCAAGAAAAACAGGCCAUGUGACCCAGGAGAUAAUAAAGGAGUUAAGGCUCUUCACUCACUGAUUCUCUCUCCUUCCCUCUCUUUUAGGCCUGAAUCUUUGUUAUCACUGCUUCAUUUUCCAGGAUUACAAGAAAAAACCAAAGUAUUGUAGGUAAAAGCAGUACAGCCAAGAAACCCCAUCUUAUGUUUAUACAUUUAGAAGCAUCCUUUGGAGCAGGAAAAGUUUAAAUUCUAAAUCUCAAGAUAGCUAACACAGAUGCACUAUUCCAAGGAGCCAGCAAGGAAAAUACAGUCCUGCUUCUCAAACACAUCCCCUGGAAUUGGUGACAAGUUAUCUUCAGAGAAAAGAAUUGUCACCAGAUUAAGAGAGUAAAGGACCCGAUGAGAAGCACGCUUGCAUUGCAUUCACAGGGCUGGCUUUCAGUUCUCCAAAAAAAUUCAUGUCAUUGCCUAAAAAUUACUAAUGGAAAAUGGCACGCAGACAGAUACAAUACUGUUGUUGUUUUUGGUUGUGGUUUUGCUUCUACUAAACCCCACAGCACUGCGGAGAAAUUAUCCUCUGAACCGAAAAGUCCUCAAGUUAAGCUUGUAUUUGACUUCCAACAAUAAACACCGUGCUGAAAAUGGCUUCAGCAGAUAGAGCUUUUCCCUCCAGUGACCAGGCAGUGAGGAGCAGGCAACCUAGGCUGCUUCUGACUUCCUGUUCAUGUUCCAAGCAGGAGGAAGGGAGAAAGACAAGAGCGAAAAGGCAGAAUGGGCAUCCAGUCUCAUCUGUCCGUUUUAAAAGCUUUCCUAGAAGUUCUACCCAGCAACUCCCACGCCCAUCUCAUUGAGGAAAACUGGAUCACAUGACCACUACUCCCGGUGAACGAGUCUAAGAGGUUAUACCAUAUCAGGACCCUGAAGAUGUCAUCUGAUCCAGCUACCUUUACCAUUAGGAAAGUAUUGUCUAUAGUCUGAGUUAUAUUGCAACAUUUCUUUCCAUUCAAUUCAUCACAUGUUUAAUGAUCAUUUACUGUGUGUUAGAAAGGUGUCAUUAAAUCACAGAGUCUUAGAGCUUUAAGAAAUAUUUGAGACAGUUUAAACUUCUCGUUUUCUUAAUUGAGAUAAAAGUCAUAUAACAUAAAAUUCACCAUUUAUCCAUUUUAAAGUGUAUUAAUACAAUUAAGCAGUUUUUAGUCUAUUCAUAGUGUUGUCAACCAUCGCUACCACCUAGCAGCUCCAGAACAUUUUAUCAUGCCCAAAAGAAACCCUGGGCCCAUGAAGCAGGCACUCCCCAUUCUUCCUCCCCCACAGCCCCUGUCAAAUAAUAAUCUACUUUUUGCUAUGAA